GCUUCUUUGCUCUUCUCUCACGAUCUUUCUGGAAAAAAAAGAAAAAGGAAAACAAAUGGAACAACUACAAAGUCCCUCUUCUCUUCCGAUCGUUCUCGUCACCCUCUCAAUCGCAUCUCUUUCUCGCUCUCGUUGAGGUCUCUCUCUUCACGAACAACUCUCUCUCGUUUUCACUUUCGGUGAACAAAAACAACAACCGCGGCACUUUGAUUUUCCGGCGGCCAUGGAAUAAGAACAAAAGUCCGGCUUUUGCUGGGUUCUUGCUCUCUCUCGGAUUCACGGUCUCUCUCGCGGUGAAACGAAGUCAGCAGCAAAAACCUCUCUCGGUUUCUUGCUCAACUCGUGCAACAACAACAGCUUCCAGCUGCCAUGGAGACGCUAAAAGCUCACACAACUACAAGGAUGAGCAAAUUCUGAAUCGAUUUUACCAAACUCAUGGACAUGGGCGAAAGCGCAGAAUAAGUUUCUUUUUUUUGGUUGCUUCGGAUUUAACCGUUAUUAUGUUAUAUGUGAUAUAGCAUACAAAUUAUAUUCUGUAUCCUUAUUACAGCAACAAUUAGCAGUGAUAUAAGAGUGGAAGUAGAAAGGAUUUACCUGCGGCAAGGAGGUGUUUGCCGGUUAAUUGCUGAGGCUCUUUGAUGAAGGUGAUGCCACAACACCUCUUUGGAUUGUUUCAAGACUUGAAGAUGGAAUUCAAGUUGGAAUUCUCCACCAAGGUAUGAACAACUUCUUCACUCCUUUUCAAACUAUGGGACUAAGAAACUUGAAAAUUAUGAGAGAAGUGAGAAAGCAAAUAGUUAAGGUUGCUUUGGUGUGUUUUUCUUCAAUGAGAGAACUUCCUAUUUAUAGGCAAAGUUAAGGGCAUGUUUGGAUGAUAAUAAACUUGAUAUCCAAGUUUCAAUCAUUGCAAGAAUAUUCUUUGAGAUAUUUCUUAUGACAUGAUCUAUGCAAGUGGACAUGAAAUAUCUCUUUGAUUUCUCUUUUUUUUUGUCUUGAAUUAUUCUUUUUUUUGAAUUAUUUCUUUUGUUGGAUUUUUGCUAAUCCCACCCCUUUUUGUUUUCUUUUUCAUGUCACAUGAGAAU